UGGGGAAUAUUGGACAAUGGGGGGAACCCUGAUCCAGCCAUGCCGCGUGUGUGAAGAAGGCCUUAUGGUUGUAAAGCACUUUAAGCGAGGAGGAGGGUACUGGUAUUAAUACUACCAGGUACUGGACGUUACCGACAGAAUAAGCACCGGCUAACUCUGUGCCAGCAGCCGCGGUAAUACAGAGGGUGCAAGCGUUAAUCGGAAUUACUGGGCGUAAAGCGCGCGUAGGUGGUUCGUUAAGUUGAAUGUGAAAGCCCCGGGCUCAACCUGGGAACUGCAUCCAAAACUGGCGGGCUAGAGUAGGGCAGAGGGUGGUGGAAUUUCCUGUGUAGCGGUGAAAUGCGUAGAUAUAGGAAGGAACACCAGUGGCGAAGGCGACCACCUGGGCUCAUACUGACACUGGGGUGCGAAAGCGUGGGGAGCAAACAGG
rnacentral:rRNA from 1 species